rnacentral:rRNA from 1 species
AUACGGGAGGCAGCAGUGGGGAAUUUUGGACAAUGGGCGCAAGCCUGAUCCAGCCAUUCCGCGUGAGUGAAGAAGGCCUUCGGGUUGUAAAGCUCUUUCGGCAGGGAAGAAACGGCACGUGCUAAUACCAUGUGCUAAUGACGGUACCUGAAGAAGAAGCACCGGCUAACUACGUGCCAGCAGCCGCGGUAAUACGUAGGGUGCGAGCGUUAAUCGGAAUUACUGGGCGUAAAGCGUGCGCAGGCGGUUUUGUAAGACAGAUGUGAAAUCCCCGGGCUUAACCUGGGAACUGCGUUUGUGACUGCAAGACUCGAGUACGGCAGAGGGGGGUGGAAUUCCACGUGUAGCAGUGAAAUGCGUAGAGAUGUGGAGGAACACCGAUGGCGAAGGCAGCCCCCUGGGUCGAUACUGACGCUCAUGCACGAAAGCGUGGGGAGCAAACAGGAUUAGAUACCCCGGUAC